UACGGAGGGGGCGAGCGUUGUCCGAAGUUACUGGGCGUAAAGCGCGCGUAGGCGGGUUGGUAAGUCGGCUGUGAAAGCCCGGAGCUUAACUCCGGAGGGUCGGUGGAUACUGCCAGUCUUGAAGGUGCUAGGGGGAGAUGGAAUUACCGGUGUAGCGGUGAAAUGCGCAGAUAUCAGGAGGAACACCGGUGGCGAAGGCGGGUCUCUGGGCAGUAACUGACGCUGAGGCGCGAAAGCUAGGGGAGCGAACAGG
rnacentral:rRNA from 1 species